ensembl:snRNA U6 U6 spliceosomal RNA
GUGUUUCCUUUGGCAGCACAUACACUAAAAUUGGAACAAUACAAAGAAGAUUAGCAUGGCCUUGCACAAGAAUGACAGUCAAAUUUGUGAAGUAUGCCAUACUUAA